AUGAGAUUUCCCUCGCCCAGGGAUGUGGACAAAGCAUGUUUCGCUGAAACCAUGAAUAUAAAAAGUUGUGGAGCUGUGGUAAGUCUUAAGAAGUGGUCUGAAUCUGUUGGUGCCAAGGGCGUACUUAACAUUGCUUGGGUCAAUGUUAGCAACAUCCCUUUGGACAAAAGGCAUGAAAUGAACAUUGCAUAUGUUGGAUCUUUGGUGGGUGUGACCUUGGAAAUUGAUAAAUCC
rnacentral:rRNA from 1 species